AUUGAACGCUGGCGGCAUGCCUUACACAUGCAAGUCGAACGGCAGCGCGGGGCAACCUGGCGGCGAGUGGCGAACGGGUGAGUAACAUAUCGGAACAUACCCUAGAGUGGGGGAUAACGUAGCGAAAGUUACGCUAAUACCGCAUACGCACUAAGGUGGAAAGUGGGGGAUCUUCGGACCUCAUGCUCAUGGAGUGGCCGAUAUCUGAUUAGCUAGUUGGUGAGGUAAAGGCUCACCAAGGCGACGAUCAGUAGCUGGUUUGAGAGAACGACCAGCCACACUGGAACUGAGACACGGUCCAGACUCCUACGGAGGCAGCAGUGGGGAAUUUUGGACAAUGGGGGCAACCCUGAUCCAGCAAUGCCGCGUGAGUGAAGAAGGCC
rnacentral:rRNA from 1 species